UUGGCGCAGCGGGAGCGCGCUUCCCUGACACGGAAGAGGUCACUGGUUCGAUCCCAGUAUCGCCCACCA
rnacentral:tRNA from 1 species